rnacentral:rRNA from 1 species
GAUGAACGCUGGCGGCGUGCCUAAUACAUGCAAGUCGAGCGAACCACUUCGGUGGUGAGCGGCGAACGGGUGAGUAACACGUAGGUGAUCUGCCCAUCAGACGGGGACAACGAUUGGAAACGAUCGCUAAUACCGGAUAGGACGAAAGUUUAAAGGUGCUUCUGGCACCGCUGAUGGAUGAGCCUGCGGCGCAUUAGCUAGUUGGUAGGGUAAAGGCCUACCAAGGCGACGAUGCGUAGCCGACCUGAGAGGGUGAACGGCCACACUGGGACUGAGACACGGCCCAGACUCCUACGGGAGGCAGCAGUAGGGAAUCUUCGGCAAUGGGCGAAUGCCUGACCGAGCAACGCCGCGUGAAUGAUGAAGGCCUUCGGGUUGUAAAAUUCUGUUAUAAGGGAAGAACGAAUUUAGUAGGAAAUGGCUAGAGUGUGACGGUACCUUAUGAGAAAGCCACGGCUAACUACGUGCCAGCCGCCGCUGUAA